UACGUAGGUGGCGAGCGUUGUCCGGAUUUACUGGGCGUAAAGGGAGCGUAGGCGGGCUUUUAAGUGAGAUGUGAAAUACUCGGGCUCAACUUGAGUGCUGCAUUUCAAACUGGAAGUCUACAGUGCAGGAGAGGAGAAUGGAAUUCCUAGUGUAGCGGUGAAAUGCGUAGAGAUUAGGAAGAACACCAGUGGCGAAGGCGAUUCUCUGGACUGUAACUGACGCUGAGGCUCGAAAGCGUGGGGAGCAAACAGG
rnacentral:rRNA from 1 species